rnacentral:rRNA from 1 species
AUUGAACGCUGGCGGCAGGCCUAACACAUGCAAGUCGAGCGAGCGGCGGACGUGUGAGUAAUGUCUGGGAAACUGCCUGAUGGAGGGGGAUAACUACUGGAAACGGUAGCUAAUACCGCAUACCAUCAGAUGUGCCCAGAUGGGAUUAGCUUGUAGGUGGGGUAAUGGCUCACCUAGGCGACGAUCCCUCGCUGGUCUGAGAGGAUGACCAGCCACACUGGAAAUGAGACAGGUGCCGGAAUCCUACGGGAGGAAGCAGUGGGGAAUAUUGCAAAAUGGGCGAAAGCCGGAUGCAGCCAUGCCGCGUGUGUGAAGAAGGCCUUCGGGUUGUAAAGCACGUUCAGCGAGGAGGCGUUAAUCGCAGAAGAAGCACCGGCUAACUCCGUGCCAGCCGCCGCGGUAAUUC